rnacentral:rRNA from 1 species
GAGCUUGCUCUCUGGGUGACGAGCGGCGGACGGGUGAGUAAUGUCUGGGAAACUGCCUGAUGGAGGGGGAUAACUACUGGAAACGGUAGCUAAUACCGCAUAACGUCUUCGGACCAAAGUGGGGGACCUUCGGGCCUCACGCCAUCAGAUGUGCCCAGAUGGGAUUAGCUAGUAGGUGGGGUAAUGGCUCACCUAGGCGACGAUCCCUAGCUGGUCUGAGAGGAUGACCAGCCACACUGGAACUGAGACACGGUCCAGACUCCUACGGGAGGCAGCAGUGGGGAAUAUUGCACAAUGGGCGCAAGCCUGAUGCAGCCAUGCCGCGUGUGUGAAGAAGGCCUUCGGGUUGUAAAGCACUUUCAGCGAGGAGGAAGGGUAGUGUGUUAAUAGCACAUURCAUUGACGUUACUCGCAGAAGAAGCACCGGCUAACUCCGUGCCAGCAGCCGCGGUAAUACGGAGGGUGCAAGCGUUAAUCGGAAUUACUGGGCGUAAAGCGCACGCAGGCGGUUUGUUAAGUCAGAUGUGAAAUCCCCGCGCUUAACGUGGGAACUGCAUUUGAAACUGGCAAGCUAGAGUCUUGUAGAGGGGGGUAGAAUUCCAGGUGUAGCGGUGAAAUGCGUAGAGAUCUGGAGGAAUACCGGUGGCGAAGGCGGC